rnacentral:ncRNA from 1 species
ACAAAUCAGCCACCGGGUUGAGAUGCAAAAGCAUCACGGCAUAUCGUUAGGUCUUUGAAGAUAUGCAGUGAUGCUUUUUUUGAAA